rnacentral:rRNA from 1 species
GACGAACGCUGGCGGCGUGCUUAACACAUGCAAGUCGAACGGUGAAGGGACCGGUUUUUGCUGGUUCUGGAUGAGUGGCGAACGGGUGAGUAACACGUGAGUAACCUGCCCCCUUCUUCUGGAUAACCGCAUGAAAGUGUGGCUAAUACGGGAUAUUCUGCGCCUGCUGCAUGGUGGGUGUGGGAAAGAUAUUGUUUCGGGGGGGGAUGGGCUCGGGCCUAUCAGCUUGUUGGUGGGGUGAUGGCCUACCAAGGCGGUGACGGGUAGCCGGCCUGGGAGGGUGGACGGUCACACUGGGACUGAGACACGGCCCAGACUCCUACGGGAGGCAGCAGUGGGGAAUAUUGCACAAUGGGCGCAAGCCUGAUGCAGCGACGCCGCGUGAGGGAUGGAGGCCUUCGGGUUGUAAACCUCUUUCGCCAGUGAAGCAGGCCUGUCCCUUUUGUGGGUGGGUUGACGGUAGCUGGAGAAGAAGCGCCGGCUAACUACGUG